rnacentral:rRNA from 1 species
UACAGAGGGGGCAAGCGUUGUUCGGAAUUACUGGGCGUAAAGGGCGCGUAGGCGGCCUUCUAAGUCAGGCGUGAAAUCCCCGGGCUCAACCCGGGAACUGCGUCUGAUACUGGAGGGCUUGAAUCCGGGAGAGGGAUGUGGAAUUCCAGGUGUAGCGGUGAAAUGCGUAGAUAUCUGGAGGAACACCGGUGGCGAAGGCGGCAUCCUGGACCGGUAUUGACGCUGAGGCGCGAAAGCCAGGGGAGCAAACGGG